rnacentral:rRNA from 1 species
AUGAACGCUAGCGACAGGCUUAACACAUGCAAGUCGAGGGGCAGCACAGGUAGCAAUACCGGGUGGCGACCGGCGCACGGGUGAGUAACGCGUAUGCAACUUACCUAUCAGAGGGGGAUAACCCGGCGAAAGUCGGACUAAUACCGCAUGAAGCAGGGGCCCCGCAUGGGGAUAUUUGCUAAAGAUUCAUCGCUGAUAGAUAGGCAUGCGUUCCAUUAGGCAGUUGGCGGGGUAACGGCCCACCAAACCGACGAUGGAUAGGGGUUCUGAGAGGAAGGUCCCCCACAUUGGUACUGAGACACGGACCAAACUCCUACGGGAGGCAGCAGUGAGGAAUAUUGGUCAAUGGCCGAGAGGCUGAACCAGCCAAGUCGCGUGAGGGAUGAAGGUUCUAUGGAUCGUAAACCUCUUUUAUAAGGGAAUAAAGUGCGGGACGUGUCCCGUUUUGUAUGUACCUUAUGAAUAAGGAUCGGCUAACUCCGUGCCAGCAGCCGCGGUAAUACGGAGGAUCCGAGCGUUAUCCGGAUUUAUUGGGUUUAAAGGGUGCGUAGGCGGCCUUUUAAGUCAGCGGUGAAAGUCUGUGGCUCAACCAUAGAAUUGCCGUUGAAACUGGGGGGCUUGAGUAUGUUUGAGGCAGGCGGAAUGCGUGGUGUAGCGGUGAAAUGCAUAGAUAUCACGCAGAACCCCGAUUGCGAAGGCAGCCUGCCAAGCCAUUACUGACGCUGAUGCACGAAAGCGUGGGGAUCAAACAGGAUUAGAUACCCUGGUAGUCCACGCAGUAAACGAUGAUCACUAGCUGUUUGCGAUACACUGUAAGCGGCACAGCGAAAGCGUUAAGUGAUCCACCUGGGGAGUACGCCGGCAACGGUGAAACUCAAAGGAAUUGACGGGGGCCCGCACAAGCGGAGGAACAUGUGGUUUAAUUCGAUGAUACGCGAGGAACCUUACCCGGGUUUGAACGCAUUCGGACCGAGGUGGAAACACCUUUUCUAGCAAUAGCCGUUUGCGAGGUGCUGCAUGGUUGUCGUCAGCUCGUGCCGUGAGGUGUCGGCUUAAGUGCCAUAACGAGCGCAACCCUUGCCACUAGUUACUAACAGGUAAAGCUGAGGACUCUGGUGGGACUGCCAGCGUAAGCUGCGAGGAAGGCGGGGAUGACGUCAAAUCAGCACGGCCCUUACAUCCGGGGCGACACACGUGUUACAAUGGCGUGGACAAAGGGAGGCCACCUGGCGACAGGGAGCGAAUCCCCAAACCACGUCUCAGUUCGGAUCGGAGUCUGCAACCCGACUCCGUGAAGCUGGAUUCGCUAGUAAUCGCGCAUCAGCCAUGGCGCGGUGAAUACGUUCCCGGGCCUUGUACACACCGCCCGUCAAGCCAUGGGAGCCGGGGGUACCUGAAGUCCGUAACCGCGAGGAUCGGCCUAGGGUAAAACUGGUGACUGGGGCU